rnacentral:lncRNA from 1 species
UUUUCUUUCAACAAUGCAGUAACCCACCACAAGAGGCCCAUUCAAAACUUGACCCAGCCCACUCUUCAAAUUACCCCAGCCUAGCACCACACCUCCAUUCCUUUCGACCCGGCCCAUUCCCUUAUAUUUUCCCCUUCAGCAUAACAACACCAACCCUCAACAGACGCGACAACACCGCAAAAACCUUAACCCGCUGACCCAUUUUCAACACGAACCAACCUUACCUGCGACCCUAAACCCGAUUCUCACAACCAACAACCCGUAACCAACCCGUUUGUAGCCUCCUUCACGCAUCCCACGCAAGUUCAUGCGAAGAAAACCCUCGAAUCUUCUACAAAUAAGUCGAGGUGUCCUCUCAACGUAUCAAUUACGCGAAUCUCAGGUAUGGGAGUACGAUUUCGUACAUGUAUGUCACAAUUUUAUUGGCUCAUGGUGAAAAUCCAUUUUGCCUAAAUCUUAUUGGUCCACCGAUUUAGAAAUCGGUACAAUUUGUUGGGGGAAUGUGAUUGGGAGUUAAAAAAUUUUGAAUUCUCUUUGGAAAGGGAAUCCCUAAAUUACCCUCAAUUGGCUUCUAUAUAAAGAGCUCACUGUUGAGCUAAAAAGGGGGAUUUUUUUGGCUUCUUCCUUUUUGGAUUCGGGGAAAAUCGAGGGAUUUUCUCUUCUUUCUAGGAUGGGGGUUCUGGGGUUUGAAUUUUUGGAUGGUCUUUUGAGGGUUCAAAAUUGGGAAGAUUUUUUUUUGGGGGACUGGCCUCUCCUUUCUAGGUUCAAAAUCUCGGAAGCAAAGGGAUUCGAAAGUCGAGGGGGUUGAGAAAAUUUGGAUUGGGGGAGUUCUUAGAAAAACUAGGUCCAAGGAGGGGGGAAAAAGUGAUCCAUUCUGAGCAAAAUCGAUAAAUCCUUCCAUUUUAGUAAAAGUUUGAAGCUCGUCGGAAUUGUUCAAAGUAGCUGCUAGGCCUUUCUCCGGUGGAGAUGAAUCCGGUGAUAGCUCUAGUCCUAUUUUGCUGCUCCCUAAAAGGUAAUACCCUUUUCCAUUUAAGCUUCAUCUGUUUCUGCUUCAUCUCAAUCUUCUAUAAUCGUGAAUAAAUAUUUUAGUAUGAUUUUAUGCUGGAUUGUUUGCUGGUAGAUGGCUUUGAUAGUCGUAGGUAGUUGUUUUGGUAGAUUUUCGAUUUAAUACUCUCAUUUUUUGUUAAAUGCUUAAGGUUUGUAUAGCUGACUUUAUGUUAAAGUUUCAUGUUCUGCGAUUCUGUUUGAGUUGUUGGUAUUUUAUUAAUGUUGGUUUUGUCGUUUAAAGUUUCAUGCUUUUGAUUUUGGUUUGAGUUACUGGUAUCCGGUUAAGGCUACUUUCGUGGCUAAAGUUUGAUUCUGUUUGGUCGUUUCGGGCUGCUUGUAUGUUGUCAUGGUUGGCUUCAGGGUUUAAUGUUGCGUGAUUUGAUCGUUUUGGGUCGAUGGCGCCCUGCUCUAGCUUGUCUUAUUUUAAAGUUUCGUGUUUUAUUCUUGUUUUGAUAGUUUUUGGGCCGAGGGUGUUUUGUUCAUUGUUGGUAUUUAACAUCGUCUUGUUUUCGAGAUUUCCCCAUGAGUUCUUUGGCUUCCCAAAUGACAAAGAAUGAUGAGGAUACGCUCGACAAAAACUGACAAAUCCCGUGAUUCCUCGAUAACCAUUUCGGCUAUUAGAACUCCUUUGAGUUUGACAAAAGAGGAUGAGGAUGAUAGUAGUGCCCCACCACUUUCCCUUUAGCUUUAUCUACCAUGUCUUUUUUUUGUGUGGAUUCGAAUCUUUUAUCCUUCCUUGUCUCUUGAUCUUGUUGCCAGUACAUAAUUGGGUUAGGAAGAUGAAUGCAAUAAUGAGGUAUCUUAGUAUGUUUAUUUAGAAGGAAUGGCCUUAUUUUGUACUCCUCGUGGAAAUGGAGCGUCACUGUUGUAUCUCUCUUUUAAUACCUACUGUCAAUGGAACUUGGAUUUAUAGGUCAAUUUCGCUUCUUUUCUGUGUUUCAAUUAGUCUCUUGACUAGAUCGUGGGGUUACGUUUAGGUAUGAAGUUCUCAAAACAGCUUGCAAACAGUUUUCUCCUGUCCCAUAUAACAUGACAGUAUCAUAUAGUGUGGUAUAGAUUGGUUUAUUUGAAGCGUAUGACUGCAUUUCGAUUUUAGUGUUGGAAAUUAAUAGUGUUCUUGAUUUAAGUGAGACCCUCUUUGCUUUUGUUGAUUGGAUUGUCCUGUAUACUGUACAACAUACAAGAAAAGAGGUGAAACGAACUUAUCUUGGUUCAUCUGUAGCAUAAAUUUAAGUAUCUAUUUUUUGGGAAUUAUCUUCAGCUCUUCAGUUUUGUAUUCCAGUUGAGUGUUUUGAUAGCCAACUGAUAAAAUUUUCUUAGUUUCUGUGUAUUCCUUCUCAUAAGUAAGCACCGGAACCUAUCGUUUUGUCAAAAGGAAUGGAUUGCUAUUUACUAUUAAUGUACGGUCCUUUAACAAAUGUUAUAGCAUCCCUCUACUUCAACAAACAAUACCAACACCUUGAUAGCCCUUCAUAGCCCCAUCUUCUCACCUUAUCAUCCACUGCAAUCUUAAAUUUCCAAAGCCUCCACAUAAGAAGAGCUACUUUUAAAGGAAAGCCUUUUACCUAGUUCUUCUUGUAUAUAGAGUUAAGUUGGCCGUUAUGUCUGAUGUACUCCCAUUUCAAAUUUAACUGAGAAUCACCCCUUCAAAUCGAAAAUCCAUCUUGGUUCAUCCAUCACAAAAUUUUUUUUGGAGGUUUAAUGUUCACUUCAAAAAUGGGCCAAUGAGGCCUAUCCUUCCAAGUCAAGCCCGAAUGAAAGCCCAAAGUUGAGCACGUGGCAUGUGGAUACGAGAAGUCGAAAGAGGAAUAAUGGAUUAAAAUCUCAUCUUUGAAGCGGCCAAGGGAUUAGAACAUUUCUUUUCUUUUAUUCGUUUAUUUAUUUUGUAGUCUUUUAUUUAUUUGUUUAUUUAUUUAUUCCUUUAUUUCAUUUGGGCCUCGAAGCCAAAGUUGUAAAUUUAAUGCAAGUGGAGCGAGAUUCGAGCCAAAGGCUCGAAAACUAGACUAAGACGUGUGAAAUGGGUUGAAAACUCAACUAGAUUAGGUCAGGGCCGAUGGUUUGGGCUUGAAAGCCUAAAUCAAUACUUCCCCGCUUUUCUCCCCUUUUCCUUUCGUUUACUUAUUUACAUGUUUCUUUGCGAACUUAGUUAAAAUCCCUAACUAAGUCGCCUAAAAAUUGGUUUUGCAUAAACACUAAAAUAUCACUAAAAUUGCUUUUCUUUGCAGAAAUCAACUUUUUUCCAAAGUUAGUCAAAGACGAUUUUCAAACUAUCCGGAUAACUGCAAGUUAGCGGACGUUUACGUUAUUAGGAACAGCUAAUAUAGAAUCUCUAACUUAAAACGAUUUUCCUGUUUUGAAUCGUUUGAAAUAACCUUUAUAAAGGUUUCUUAAUUCUUUUUAAAAUUAUGUGGCGAUUCUCUUUCAAAAGUCAAAAUUUCUCAACAAUAGUACCAAAUCUUUACUUUAUUAGUAGUAGAACAUUACUAUUAUUACUAUUAUUUCAUUUCUAUUCUAUUUAUCAUUAUAUUAAUUUUUACUUAAUAUAUAAGUGAAGGUUGUGGUGACUAUUAAAGGUAUUUUGGUAAUUUUAGUCACCACAACCUUCACUUCUAUAUAAUAGUAAAUAAAAUGAUUACACAUGCAUAUGAUUUUUCUUAUAUUUAUUAGUUUUAUCCUCAUUUUUAUGGUGCAAUAAAAUAGUUACAUAUGCAUAUCAUUUUCUUCUUAUAUUUAUUAGUUUAAUUUUGUCCUCAUGUAUUAUUUUAAUAAUAUUUUUAUUUAGAUCUUUGUAAUUGAAUUGUACAUGGAAGUAUUUUUUUUAUAAAUAUCUUUUUGAUCCUUAUUAAAUGACUACCAAGGGUUUUUCGAUAUAAUAAGUGAAGGUUGGGGUGACUACCAAGGGUAUUUUGGUAAUUUUAAUCACCCAAACCUCCACUUAUAUAUAGUAGUAAAUAAAAUGGUUAUAUAUGCGCAUGAUUUUUUUUAUAUAUUUAUUAAUUUUGUCUUCAUUUUUAUGUUGCAAUAACAUGAUUACACAUGUAUAUUAUUUUUUUCUUAUAUUUAUUAGUUUUGCCUUCAUAUAUUAUUUUAAUAAUAUUCGUAUUUAGACCUUUGUAAUUGAAUUAUACAUGACAGUAUUUUUUUAUAAAUAUCUUUUUUGUUCCUUAUUAAAUGACUAUCAAGGAUAUUUCGAUAAUUUUAGGAUGCAAUAAAAUGGUUACACAUGCAUAUUUUUUUUUCUUAUAUUUAUUAGUUUUGUCCUCAUUUUUAUAGUGCAGUAAUAUGGUUACACAUGCAUAUUACUUUUUCUUAUAUUUAUUAGUUUUCUCCUUAGUUAUUAUUUUAAUAAUAUUUUUAUUUAGACCUUUGUAAUUGAAUUAUACAUGAUAGUAAUUUUUUUUAUAAAUAUUUUUUCUUCCUUAUUAAAUGACUAUCAAGGGUAUUUUGAUAAUUUUAGGAUGCAAUAAAAUGGUUACACAUGUAUAUUGCUUUUUCCUUAUAUUUGUUAGUUUUGUCUUCAUUUUUAUAGUGCAAUAAAAUGGUUGCACAUGCAUAUUGCUUUUUUUCUUAUAUUUAUUAGUUUUGUCCUCAUGUAUUAUUUUAAUAAUAUUUUUAUUUAGACCAUUGUAAUUGAAUUAUACAUGGUAGUAAUUUAUUAUAAAUAUCUUUUUGUUCCUUAUUAAACAACUAUCAAGGGUAUUUCGAUAAUUUUAUGAUGCAAUAAAUAUUUCAGAACGAUGUAUGUGUCUCCAUAACUUAUAUAUUUAAAAUUUUCAAAUGAGAUAUGCAACGUGUAUUUUUUCAGGAAUGUCCAAACGAAUGGCGUGUCGCCAACUGUAGUUGCAAUAAUCUAGCUAGAUUUUUAUCCACUUAUAUAAUCACUUUAGUAUUGGCUAGACUAGUCUAGCAAGCUCAAUUUCGUUCCACACUGAAUGUAUAUAUUAUGUUAACAUCGGUUCAUUGUACUGCAUUUCUUUUCUUUUACUCCUAUACUAAACAAUUACAAUAAGUAGGAAAUAAUCUUUUACAAAUUUGGAUUUCUUUAGCACAUUAGUGUUGUCAAAAGGCCCGUGCCUUGCACGAGCACAGGUAUCUAGUGUGUGUGUGUAUAUAUAUAUAUAUAUAUACUAGAUAUACCACACGUGUGUUGCACAUGUGACAUGUUUAUUGUUGAAUUAGUAUAUUUAGAAAUAUUUAUGUUCUUUCAUAUCUUCAUUUAAGCAGAGAAAAACGAGGCUUCUCUCUUUUGUUAUUUUUGUAGUUUUGAAGUUAUGUCAUUGACAAUUUUGAGUCAUCAAUAGUCGAGUUGUACUGUGCAGUAUAAACUGCUAACUAAUCAAAUAUAAUAAUGUAUCCGAUUCCCUAGCUUAAAGAUGUGUGCAAUGCGUUGCUUUACGUGUGUUAUGUGUGAUGAUUGGCUUGAAUGAUAUCAUUGGUAAAUAAGUUUGGGAAUACGUCCAUACAUUAACGGAAUGGAAUUAAACUUACAAUUUUUUAUGUGCACAGGCCGUUGUUGCAGUAGAUUUUGAAAGUAUUGUAGAUGUAGAAAAGAAAGGCAGUCGAACAGAUGAUCCGGGAAGAUUUGACAGUAAGAUCCUAUUGCAAAAACAAAGNNN